AGAGUUUGAUCCUGGCUCAGGAUGAACGCUGGCGGCGUGCCUAACACAUGCAAGUCGAGCGAAGCACUUUGCUUAGAUUCUUCGGAUGAAGAGGAUUGUGACUGAGCGGCGGACGGGUGAGUAACGCGUGGGUAACCUGCCUCAUACAGGGGGAUAACAGUUAGAAAUGACUGCUAAUACCGCAUAAGACCACAGCACCGCAUGGUGCGGGGGUAAAAACUCCGGUGGUAUGAGAUGGACCCGCGUCUGAUUAGCUAGUUGGUAAGGUAACGGCUUACCAAGGCGACGAUCAGUAGCCGACCUGAGAGGGUGACCGGCCACAUUGGGACUGAGACACGGCCCAAACUCCUACGGGAGGCAGCAGUGGGGAAUAUUGCACAAUGGGGGAAACCCUGAUGCAGCGACGCCGCGUGAGCGAAGAAGUAUUUCGGUAUGUAAAGCUCUAUCAGCAGGGAAGAAAAUGACGGUACCUGACUAAGAAGCACCGGCUAAAUACGUGCCAGCAGCCGCGGUAAUACGUAUGGUGCAAGCGUUAUCCGGAUUUACUGGGUGUAAAGGGAGCGUAGACGGAUGGGCAAGUCUGAUGUGAAAACCCGGGGCUCAACCCCGGGACUGCAUUGGAAACUGUUCAUCUAGAGUGCUGGAGAGGUAAGUGGAAUUCCUAGUGUAGCGGUGAAAUGCGUAGAUAUUAGGAGGAACACCAGUGGCGAAGGCGGCUUACUGGACAGUAACUGACGUUGAGGCUCGAAAGCGUGGGGAGCAAACAGGAUUAGAUACCCUGGUAGUCCACGCCGUAAACGAUGACUACUAGGUGUCGGGUGGCAAAGCCAUUCGGUGCCGCAGCAAACGCAAUAAGUAGUCCACCUGGGGAGUACGUUCGCAAGAAUGAAACUCAAAGGAAUUGACGGGGACCCGCACAAGCGGUGGGAGCAUGUGGUUUAAUUCGAAGCAACGCGAAGAACCUUACCUGCUCUUGACAUCCCGCUGACCGGACGGUAAUGCGUCCUUCCCUUCGGGCAGCGGAGACAGGUGGUGCAUGGUUGUCGUCAGCU
rnacentral:rRNA from 1 species